rnacentral:rRNA from 1 species
GACGAACGCUGGCGGCGUGCUUAACACAUGCAAGUCGAACGAUGAAGCGGUGCUUGCACCGUGGAUUAGUGGCGAACGGGUGAGUAAUACGUGAGUGACCUACCUUUGACUCUGGGAUAAGCCUGGGAAACUGGGUCUAAUACCGGAUACGACCAAUCUCUGCAUGGGGUGUUGGUGGAAAGCGUUAUGGAGUGGUUUUAGAUGGGCUCACGGCCUAUCAGCUUGUUGGUGAGGUAAUGGCUUACCAAGGCGACGACGGGUAGCCGGCCUGAGAGGGUGACCGGCCACACUGGGACUGAGACACGGACCAGACUCCUACGGGAGGCAGCAGUGGGGAAUAUUGCACAAUGGGCGCAAGCCUGAUGCAGCGACGCCGCGUGAGGGAUGACGGCCUUCGGGUUGUAAACCUCUGUUAGCAUCGAAGAAGCGAAAGUGACGGUAGGUGCAGAGAAAGCGCCGGCUAACUACGUG